GUACCCCUGCAAAUUUCCUUGGGCCGGUCCUGUACCAGAACUCUUUUGAACAGCUGGACACAAUGGUCAGACAUGGAAGGUUUAACCAAGUCCCAUAUAAUGAGUGAUUUUGUAUCUGUGGAGUGGCAGAGGUAGAAAAUUUCACACGUGUACUGUUUAGCUGUAACUUUUAUAAGAAAGAGAGAAACCAAUACCUUUGUUAUGACGACAUUAUACAAAAGACACUUGAAUCCUUAUAUUAAAAUUGCAUUUGUAUUGGCUGGCCAGAAUGCUAAAACAACAUACAAAAUGGAUCUUUUUAUGUUUAAAGCAACUCAGUUGAGAAAUGCAUAUUUGGAGUCAAUUGGGGUGAUUCAGAUAUUUGAUCUGGAUCAGGAUCUUAAUCUUUGUUAACAGCUUGCUUAUUUUAAUUUUGAUUGUAAUGUGGAUUGCUGUAAGUGUAUGUGUUAAAUGUGUUUGUUAAAUGUUUUGAUUAUGUUUUUAUGUCUGUUUUAAUUUUAAUAAUUUUAUUCAUGUCUUGUGUUUUAUGCCCAAGGCACUGCACAGGUACUGUUUGUAAGCCGCCUUGAGUCCCCCUUGGGGAAGAGAAAGGUAGAAUAUAAAUAUUGCAAAUAAAUAAAUAAAUGAUGCAGCCGAUGGGCUCAUUCAUCAAAUGUAUUGAGUAUAUGAGCAAAAUGGAUCUAUCUAUUGGUUUGAAACUAGGUGAGUAUAUGUUGUUGUUUUUUUACCUUAUAUGGGCAAAUAAAAAUGACUUAAGCAGGCUGAAAGUAGUUGACCAGAUUAUUUUACCUUAUAUGGGCAAACAUUGAUCUAUCAUCAGGUUGAAACUAGUUGACCAGAUUAUUUUACCUUAUAGGGGUAAAAAUAGACCUAACCAUUGGGUUGCUAUAAAUAGAGACAACCCAUUGUACUACAUCACAGUUGAAUGCAGUGUCAAUGGCCAUUGUUAGACUUCACAGAUUUUUAUAUAAAGGAAAGCACUGCAAGUCUGAACCCUUAAGCUCUGAAAAGCCCAUCAAGAACAGGUGGUGCUCCGCUGCAAAGAGCUUGAAAGACAGAAUCACCAUCUGAAAUGGCAAGAUUCACACGCAGCCGGAGCAGGAGCCUCAGUCGCCGCCGUCGUAGGCGGCGACAUGGAGGUAGAGGUGGAAGGAGGAAAAGAGGACGCCAUGGGAGAAGAAGGAAGGGCCAUAAAGGUCACAGGAGGAGGAGGAGGGGAAGAGGCCACAAAGAUUAAACUCCAUAGUCUCCGACAUGCUUCCCUCCUGGCACUCAUGGCUUUUGUACACCUGCCAACAAGAAUGACACAAACCUUCUGAAGAGUAACACCCAAGAUGACCUACCCAGAAUCGAGGAGGCUGAAACAAUUUGAGCAAUACCACCUGUCAAUAAACACUGGACAUUUUA